UACAGAGGUCUCAAGCCGUUUGUUCGGAUUCAUUGGGCGUAAAGGGCGCGUAGGCGGCGGGGUAAGUCGGGUGUGAAAUCUCAGGGCUCAACCCUGAAACUGCACUCGAUACUGCUCUGCUUGAGGACUGGAGAGGAGACUGGAAUUCACGGUGUAGCAGUGAAAUGCGUAGAGAUCGUGAGGAAGACCAGUGGCGAAGGCGGGUCUC
rnacentral:rRNA from 1 species